GUGAACGCUGGCGGCGUGCUUAACACAUGCAAGUCGUACGCUUGUAGCAAUACAGGAGUGGCGAAAGGGUGAGGAACACGUGAGUAACCUACCCUCAAGUUGGGAAUAACACCGGGAAACUGGUGCUAAUACCGAAUGUGGCUGACGAACCGCAUGGUUUGUCAUCUAAAGAUUUAUCGCUUGAGGAGGGGCUCGCGUCCCAUUAGCUAGUUGGUGAGGUAACGGCCCACCAAGGCAACGAUGGGUAGCUGGUCUGAGAGGAUGGCCAGCCACACUGGGACUGAGACACUGCCCAGACUCCUACGGGAGGCUGCAGUCGAGAAUCUUGGGCAAUGCGCGAAAGCGUGACCCAGCAAUGCCGCGUGCAGGAUGA
rnacentral:rRNA from 1 species